UACGUAGGGUGCGAGCGUUAAUCGGAAUUACUGGGCGUAAAGCGUGCGCAGGCGGUUUGCUAAGACAGGUGUGAAAUCCCCGGGCUUAACCUGGGAACUGCGCUUGUGACUGGCAGGCUAGAGUACGGUAGAGGGGGUGGAAUUCCUGGUGUAGCAGUGAAAUGCGUAGAUAUCAGGAGGAACACCGAUGGCGAAGGCAGCCCCCUGGGCCUGUACUGACGCUCAUGCACGAAAGCGUGGGGAUCAAACAGGAUUAGAUACCCG
rnacentral:rRNA from 1 species